AAUUGGUGUCUUAUAAUAAAAUUAUUAGAUUUUGUUUAAAAUAAUAAAUUUGCUAACAAUAAUGUAGAAAUUUGUGAUAAAGAAUAGUUUAGAAAUAUCUAUAAAAAAAAUUGUAAAAGAUAGAAAAAUAAAAAAUAAUUUAAAAUACAGUAUAAAGAUUGAUAAAAUAAAAUUAUACAACAGUGUUUUGAAAAAAAAAAA
rnacentral:lncRNA from 1 species